UGUCACAAGCCAUGGGAGGUUAGAGCAACAGGUGUGUUAUCCUUCUACAUCCCCACAAGGAUUCUCCACCCCUUUUGGGGCAGUAUCCACUAAGGAUAAAACUACACCUUCUUCAACCAAGAUACGGACUGAAAACACGGGAAAAAGUAAGGGCACUGGAGGUCAGGAGACCUGACUGGGCUGCAGAUCCAGACUCAGAUUAGAUGCAUGGUUAACUCUGGGGAAGCUGCUUCUCCACUCUGCCCAUCAAUUUUCUUUUCUCUAAUUGGCGUGUCCUUUGUGAGCACUAAGGCUCCUUACUGCUCUAAUGUGUGACAAGUGGUAUUUAAAGAUUGGCCAGGCAUGGUAGCUUACGCCUGUACUCCCAGCACUUUUCCAGGCCAAGGCAGGAGGACUGCCUGAGGCUAGGAGUUCUAGGUCAGCCUAGGUAAUAUAUUGAGACCCUGUUUCUACAAAAAAUUUAAAAAUUAGCCUGCAGUUGCAGCCGUGUUUUCUGAGUUCCUGUCUUCUUGCUAGUAUCGCUGGAUGGCCUCCCCAAACCGGGACCCAGUGGCCGUAAAGAAGCCAAGCCUAGCAGGGGAGCCACCCGAGGCCCCGUGGGCAAAAAGUUACAGCAGGAGCUGAUGACCCUCAUGAUGUCUGGUGACAAAGGAAUUUCUGCCUUUCCUGAAUCAGACAACCUUUUCGAAUGGGUAGGGACCAUCCAUGGAGCAGCCGGCACAGUAUAUGAAGACCUGGGGUAUAAGCUCUCCCUAGAGUUUCCCAGGGGUUACCCUUACAACGCACCCACGGUGCAGUUCCUCACGCCCUGCUACCGCCCCAAUGUGGACACCCAGGGUAAUAUCUGCCUGGACAUCCUGAAGGACAAGUGGUCUGCCCUGUAUGACGUCAGGACCAUCCUGCUUUCCAUUCAGAGCCUGCUAAGAGAACCCAACAUUGAUAGUCCUUUGAACACACAUGCUGCCGAGCUCUGGAAAAACCCCACAGCUUUUAAGAAGUACCUGCAGGAAACAUACUCAAAGCAGGUGUCCAGCCAGGAGCCCUGACUAGGGCUAACGGACUCUCCCUGUGUUGUCUUGUUUUUUGUCCUUAGAUGGUCUGUCUUUUUCCAAGAUUUCCAUAUAGGACUCUGUAUCUUGAGCUGUGUUGUUAUUGUUUUGUUUCUGUUUUUUAAAUUAAGUCUCUGGUUGAGCCCUUGUGAUGUAUAUUAAAUAAAUACAUUUUGGUCAUUU